AUAUUUUAGACAUAUGACAUGUAGUAACAUACCAUAUUAGUUUAAAUCAGUUGUAAAAUUAAAAAUGUUAACAUCUUUGAUAGGUAUAUUUAUUUAGGUUAGUUACAGCUAAGUUUACAUGGCUAGUUAAUUUGCUUUUAUAAACUGCAAUUUUAAUUAACUUCCAAAUUAAACAUGUGGCAUCCAAUAUCAUAAACUAAGUUUAUACUGGUGUGUUUAUAUUAUUUUAGAAUUUUUUGUUUUAGACACAUGGCAUUUGCUAUCCCACUACACGUGGCAUGUGGUAUCCCACUAAUUUGCUGUUUUAGACACGUGGCUUGUGAUAUCCCACUAAUUAGCUAUUUUAAACAUGUGACAAGUGGUAUGACACUGUAUUGAUGUAUGUGAAAUGUAUAGAGUCUUUCAGUUAUCAGAUAAUGUCAAGGAGUUGACAGCAUGGUGUCCUAUUUAAAGUGCGAACCUGUGUACGAGUAACAACAGUAUUCAAAACCAAAACCUAUUUAAACCAACCAAACCAAAACUAGCGACCAAAAACUAAUAUCUUGGCAUUGGUUUAUUUUAAACAUCUAUUAUAUAUAUGUGUGUGUUUUAUAUAAAUG
rnacentral:lncRNA from 1 species